GACGAACGCUGGCGGCGUGCUUAACACAUGCAAGUCGAACGGAAAGGCCCUGCUUUUGUGGGGUGCUCGAGUGGCGAACGGGUGAGUAACACGUGAGUAACCUGCCCUUGACUUUGGGAUAACUUCAGGAAACUGGGGCUAAUACCGGAUAGGAGCUCCUGCUGCAUGGUGGGGGUUGGAAAGUUUCGGCGGUUAGGGAUGGACUCGCGGCUUAUCAGCUUGUUGGUGGGGUAGUGGCUUACCAAGGCUUUGACGGGUAGCCGGCCUGAGAGGGUGACCGGCCACAUUGGGACUGAGAUACGGCCCAGACUCCUACGGGAGGCAGCAGUGGGGAAUAUUGCACAAUGGGCGGAAGCCUGAUGCAGCAACGCCGCGUGCGGGAUGACGGCCUUCGGGUUGUAAACCGCUUUCGCCUGUGACGAAGCGUGAGUGACGGUAAUGGGUAAAGAAGCACCAGCUAACUACGUG
rnacentral:rRNA from 1 species